UACGGAGGGAGCUAGCGUUGUUCGGAAUUACUGGGCGUAAAGCGCGCGUAGGCGGCUUUGUAAGUUAGAGGUGAAAGCCCGGAGCUCAACUCCGGAACUGCCUUUAAAACUGCAUCGCUUGAAUCCAGGAGAGGUGAGUGGAACUGCGAGUGUAGAGGUGAAAUUCGUAGAUAUUCGCAAGAACACCAGUGGCGAAGGCGGCUCACUGGCCCGAUACUGACGCUGAGGCACGAAAGCGUGGGGAGCAAACAGG
rnacentral:rRNA from 1 species